CAUAUGUCAAGAAGACAGCAACCCAUUGGCCCAAAUCUCUUUGCCUGCAUCAGAUACUGCAGCACACUCAGCUGACCCAGACGUGUUAGUUGAGACCUCUGGAUCUGAUGAAGGCUCUGCACUACAACAGGAAGAGAAAGUUAUAUCCAUGUUGGAGGCCAUAGGUAAACCUGUGGCCUGUUGCAGCGAGGAAGAGAUGGAGGAAACCAAGGAGGAAGAGAGGCAUAAGCACAAUGGAGAAAGACAUAGGGAACACGAGGGAGUGCAGGAAAAAGAAAAGAAAGUGUAUAAAGUUUUAGGAAGGCUAACAGCACAAGGAAAGACCUACCAGGUAGAUGAA